rnacentral:rRNA from 1 species
CGUAGGAGGCGAGCGUUGUCCGGAUUUACUGGGCGUAAAGAGCGCGCAGGCGGCAUGGCAAGUACGGAGUGAAAUCUCCCUGCUCAACGGGGAGGGUGCUUUGUAGACUGCCAAGCUCGAGGACGGUAGAGGGGGUAGAAUUGCUGGUGUAGCGGUGAAAUGCGUAGAGAUCAGCAGGAAUACCCGUGGCGAAGGCGGCCCCCUGGGCCGAACCUGACGCUGAGGCGCGAAGGCUAGGGGGAGCGGACGGGAUUAGAUACCCCGGUAGUCCUAGCAGUAAACGAUGGCCACUAGGUGUGGGGGGUGUUGACCCCUUCCGUGCCGAAGCUAACGCAUUAAGUGGCCCGCCUGGGGAGUACGGUCGCAAGACUA